AUUGAACGCUGGCGGCAGGCCUAACACAUGCAAGUCGAACGAGUGGCGGACGGGUGAGUAAUGUCUGGGAAACUGCCUGAUGGCGGGGGAUAACUACUGGCAACGGUAGCUCAUACCGCAUACCAUAUGAUGUGCACAGAUGGGAGUCGCUGGUAGGUGGGGUAACGGCUCACCAAGGCGACGAUCCAUCACUGGUCUGAGAGGAUGACCAGCCACACUGGAACUGAGACACGUUCAAGACUCCGACGGGAGGCAGAAGUGGUGAGUAAUGCACAAGGGGCGCAAGCCUGAUGCAGUCAUGCCGCGUGGAUGAAGAAGGCCGUCGGGUUGUAAAGUACUUUCAGCGGGGAGGCGUUACCCGCAGAAGAAGAACCGGCUAACUCCGUGCGAGCAGCCGCGGUAAGAC
rnacentral:rRNA from 1 species